GGGGGGAAGAAACCAAUGUAAAUAUAUCUGUUUAAUAUUUACAAGAAACGGUGUGGGAAAUAGACACGUUUUGCAGGAAGAGGUAUGUGCGAACGGGUUCGUACAACAACGAAUUAAAAUGGUGUAGCCUUGGAGUUUUCUUUCUUUUUUUUUUCUUUUUCCUUUUUUCCUUAGGUCGAUUUUGUAUUUGUUUAUUGUACAUGUGUUUAUUUUGUCUAUUAACAACAUGCUUUAAUU
rnacentral:lncRNA from 1 species